GAUGAACGCUGGCUACAGGCUUAACACAUGCAAGUCGAGGGGAAACGACGGGGAAGCUUGCUUCCCCGGGCGUCGACCGGCGCACGGGUGAGUAACGCGUAUCCAACCUGCCUCUGACUGAGGGAUAACCCGUCGAAAGUCGGCCUAAUACCUCAUGGCAUCGUCUGCGGGCAUCCAACGACGAUUAAAGAUUUCAUCGGUCAGAGAUGGGGAUGCGUCUGAUUAGCUUGUUGGCGGGGUAACGGCCCACCAAGGCGACGAUCAGUAGGGGUUCUGAGAGGAAGGUCCCCCACAUUGGAACUGAGACACGGUCCAAACUCCUACGGGAGGCAGCAGUGAGGAAUAUUGGUCAAUGGGCGAGAGCCUGAACCAGCCAAGUAGCGUGCAGGAUGACGGCCCUAUGGGUGGUAAACUGCUUUUAUGCGGGGAUAAAGUGAGGGACGUGUCCUUCAUUGCAGGUACCGCAUGAAUAAGGACCGGCUAAUUCCGUG
rnacentral:rRNA from 1 species